rnacentral:rRNA from 1 species
UACGAAGGGGGGCUAGCGUUGCUCGGAAUCACUGGGCGUAAAGCGCACGUAGGCGGCUUUCUAAGUCAGGGGUGAAAUCCUGGAGCUCAACUCCAGAACUGCCUUUGAUACUGGGGAGCUCGAGUCCGGAAGAGGUGAGUGGAACUCCGAGUGUAGAGGUGAAAUUCGUAGAUAUUCGGAAGAACACCAGUGGCGAAGGCGGCUCACUGGCCCGUUACCGACGCUCAGGCGCGACAGCG